rnacentral:rRNA from 1 species
AUGGUUGACCUCGGAUCAGUAGGGAWACCC